AGCGCAGGCGGUUUGAUAAGUCUGAAGUUAAAGGCUGUGGCUCAACCAUAGUUCGCUUUGGAAACUGUCAAACUUGAGUGCAGAAGGGGAGAGUGGAAUUCCAUGUGUAGCGGUGAAAUGCGUAGAUAUAUGGAGGAACACCGGUGGCGAAAGCGGCUCUCUGGUCUGUAACUGACGCUGAGGCUGAAAGCGUGGGGGAGCGAACA
rnacentral:rRNA from 1 species